AAAAUAUUGGCGGUGGCGUCCUGUUGUGAAGGGCUACUCUGACAAGGAUUGAGGAAAACUUUCGUGACGCCCCUUCCAAGUUCGCAAGGGCUCUACUGCGUGUUCUCUUCACUGACGCGGAGCUGGAGAACAAAACGCUGUUUGGCCGUCAGGCCAACAGCCACAAAGACCAGCCAGCGAAAGCUGGAUUGGACCAAAAGAGGGUGGCUGCAGUCCUUGUGCUGCAUUCUUGACAAAAGGGGUCGUACUGCACCAAAUGUUUCACCUCGAAACAGAAUAUACAUGCCUGAAAUAUAAAUGCUCGGACGAUAAACUGAAGAGGAGCCUAGGCUCCAUGCUUCAGAAGAUGGGGUCGAGGCAAAGCACCUCCACUGCUGACCAGGAAGAAGUUGAG
rnacentral:lncRNA from 1 species